AUUGAACGCUGGCGGCAGGCCUAACACAUGCAAGUCGAGCGGAUGAAGGGAGCUUGCUCCUGGAUUCAGCGGCGGACGGGUGAGUAAUGCCUAGGAAUCUGCCUGGUAGUGGGGGAUAACGUCCGGAAACGGGCGCUAAUACCGCAUACGUCCUGAGGGAGAAAGUGGGGGAUCUUCGGACCUCACACUAUCAGAUGAGCCUAGGUCGGAUUAGCUAGUUGGUGGGGUAAAGGCCUACCAAGGCGACGAUCCGUAACUGGUCUGAGAGGAUGAUCAGUCACACUGGAACUGAGACACGGUCCAGACUCCUACGGGAGGCAGCAGUGGGGAAUAUUGGACAAUGGGCGCAAGCCUGAUCCAGCCAUGCCGCGUGUGUGAAGAAGGUCUUCGGAUUGUAAAGCACUUUAAGUUGGGAGGAAGGGCAGUAAGUUAAUACCUUGCUGUUUUGACGUUACCAACAGAAUAAGCACCGGCUAACUUCGUG
rnacentral:rRNA from 1 species